CCUCAGAAGACCGCUCGACGGCACAGGCGACUGGGAGCAAGUCUUGAAGAAUUCACUGCCUCCUCUGGAGUUCGUGGUUCUCGACGAUGGAAGAAUUGUGUUCUGUGAAACAUCCGGUGCCGUGUUGAUAUAUGAUCCUACUGAAAAAACAUACAGACAGCUGAAAGAGCCUACCGCUGGUGAUUGCUGUGGUUCAAUUAAAGUCAGCCCCUGUGAUGAUGACCUGAUCUACAUCGCAAACAAAAACGAUCCGGAUAUCGAGAUCUACAAUGCUACAUCACUUGAAUACGUUAGGUCAUUGACAUACACCACGUCGACUCCCUCUGCAUGCCCAUCUAUUGCUUGUGAUCCAACAUUGUGGUAUGAAUUGUUACAAUGUAUUAGUUACUGUUACACAUCCAGCAAGAACAACGACCAAGUAAUUAAC